rnacentral:miRNA from 1 species
UGCUCUAAAAGAUCGUAGUUC